rnacentral:lncRNA from 1 species
GUUGCAAGUUGUUAUAUUGUGGAAGUGUAUUAGUGAAAGUGCACUGUGUUAAACCUUACCAGUUGGAUAAUAUUCAUUGUGUGGGAACUCAAAGGGAUAGUUAGUGCGUGAGUUCAGCUGUUUUAUAUAUAUAUUCCUUGUGAAUUGAAACAUUGUGCAAGUGUAAUUGUGUCAUUGUGUUAUUGUGGUUAGUUGCAGACUAACAAGGUGAUACUACAUAUUGG